CGUGAGAGGCGACUGCUUGUCAGAAGGUAGAUCUUUUCUGUCAUCAAUAAACUGUCUUUUCCUUGCUGUCAGCCCUGUAAGCUGGCACUAUAUGCUCCUUGUUCUAUUGGCUGCUAACAUUUCUGUAAAAGGAGAUCUAACUGUCAAGAGUUCAAGAUUCCAGUGGUCUGUGAAGUCCCACCACCAAUCUACUCUCCAGAGUUGUGUUUGAAUCAGCCCAUGACAGGAGAAGCCGCUGCGAGAGGAAGGCCGUGCCCCGCAACCAGACAGUGCGCCCCGCUCACCGCAACCAGAGCAAAGCCCGUGCAGCAGCAAGGACCCAGCACAGCCCCACCCAAGAAAAGAGCCUGUGCAAGACCAGCCGAAGCCCACUCCGUGUUGUCCCUCCCCACCCCGUGGCCUGAGCAGUGGGCGCUGCAGGCCAGCCCUCGGGGGCACUGCGGAGUGGGCAGCGAGCUCGCCUGCCCGCCUGUGGACUAGGCCACCACCUCAGAUGGAGCAGCCUUGCACUCAGUUGCUGACGUCACCCAUUCACCGUGACGUCCUCCUUGGUCAGAGCCUGCUCACUGCCACCUGCCUUUCCCUUUUAAUCUCUUCAGAAUGUGCAGACGUGGCGAUCAGACACGACCUCCCGAGUGUUCACAGGAAACGGUGCUGCGCACGGGCAGAGCUGCCCGGGUGAGCAUCCGCCAUCAGACCCACCGACUGAGCUCCCUUUGUGCCGGGAAUGGGUCGUCUCCAGAAUGCAGAGGAGAGUCUGUCACGUAGACCGAUGAUGUACUGCGCCACUGGGAAGUAAAGGUUGGUGCCACCUAAGUGGGCUCCUGCUGCAA